AGGACGAACGCUGGCGGCGUGCUUAACACAUGCAAGUCGAGCGGAAAGGCCCUUCGGGGUACUCGAGCGGCGAACGGGUGAGUAACACGUGAGUAACCUGCCUCUAGCUCUGGGAUAGCUCCGGGAAACCGGGAUUAAUACCAGAUACGACCACUUUAGACAUCUGUCGUGGUGGAAAGGAUUCCGGCUAGGGAUGGGCUCGCGGCCUAUCAGCUUGUUGGUGGGGUAACGGCCUACCAAGGCGACGACGGGUAGCCGGCCUGAGAGGGCGACCGGCCACACUGGGACUGAGACACGGCCCAGACUCCUACGGGAGGCAGCAGUGGGAAUAUUGCGCAAUGGGCGAAAGCCUGACGCAGCGACGCCGCGUGGGGGAUGAAGGCCUUCGGGUUGUAAACCCUUUCAGCAGGGACGAAGCGAAAGUGACGGUACCUGCAGAAGAAGCGCCGGCUAACUACGCGCCAGCAGCCGC
rnacentral:rRNA from 1 species